rnacentral:rRNA from 1 species
CGGGACGGGUGAGUAACGCGUGGAAAACCUGCCGUAUACUGGGGGAUAACACUUAGAAAUAGGUGCUAAUACCGCAUAAGCGCACAGCUUCGCAUGAAGCGGUGUGAAAAACUCUGGUGGUAUACGAUGGUUCCGCGUCUGAUUAGCUAGUUGGUGGGGUAAUGGCCUACCAAGGCAACGAUCAGUAGCCGGCCUGAGAGGGUGAACGGCCACAUUGGGACUGAGACACGGCCCAAACUCCUACGGGAGGCAGCAG